GACUGAGAAGCCUGAAAAUGCGACCGCCUAAAUGUGCUACACAAAAGUGGAAAAGGCACUGCUGCCCGUGCAUGAUUUGAAAAAUGCUCUGUGAAAGUUUAUUUGAAGACUGAAGGGCUCAGUUGAUCAGUCUUUGUCCUCAGCUGAUUCCCUUGAUGCCUGAAAUCAUUCUAAAUAUAAACCUGCCAUGCAGAAGUAAUGCUGGGAGCUACAUGUGGAUGGAAAUGAAAGAGUGCAGCCAGAAGGAACAAUCUGGGUGAAACGGAGACGGCUGGAGGGGUGAUCUUUUGUUGGACUAGAACAAGGGAAGGAG